rnacentral:lncRNA from 1 species
GCCGUGGAGAUGGGAGCCUCUGCCCAGACACGGAGAGGCACUCGCCGUGCUCCACUCCACUCACACCACCCGGAGUGUUUGUAAGGUGUCCUGGAGUGGCCAGUGAGGGACGGGGCGGGGGGCUUUUUACAAUGGCUGUUUCCUAUGCUGUGAUAUGGACGGUUCAAGGAGCAGGAGGCUGGAGGACUGGCCGAAUGCACAGGACCCCACGGCCUGAGCUCCAGGGGCUGCCCGCUCCUACGGCCUGGCGUGUCAGGCUCCCAGGCCGAGUGCGAGGGUCCUGAGCAGCCAGCACAAGGCAUGUGGGCUGACAGGGCCCAGAGCCUCCGCUCCUCUCCUGCCCCUGGGCUCAGACCUCGCCUGGCUGCACAGGCUGGUGGGGUGCCCAGCACCCCCAGAGUGCAGGCCCAGGGCCACGCUCCCCUCCCCCAGCACCCAGCUCUCUCCGGCUGGUCCGGGAGCACCUGGGGCCUCAGGGAGCCUGGCUUCCCUGAACCUGCAAUUGGACUGGGAAGAGCCCCCGAGCCCCUGACCCCUACACUGCAGCCCAGGGUGGGGAGGCCCCAUCUGCCCACCCCUGGCAGAACAGCAGGAUGGAACAAAGCCUAUUCCAGAAACCCUGGGCACACCCCAGGGGUGGGGGUGGGGGCAGCCACGACACAGUGGGGCUCAGCCUGAGGGGCAGAGGGGCAGCAAGGGCAGCCUACGAGCCAUCUGCUGACCUAUCACCCUUCGCUCUGGGACAGAAGCCUUAAUCCCUUGAGCCAGAGCUCAGUCUGCGCCCGCCCAGCCUUCUUCCUGAGCCCCCAGUGACCCAGGCUCCCGCCGCCAGGUCCCAAAGAGGACAAGUGGUCCUGAUCUCAUUGGGAGCACCCAGACCCAGAGCUGCCUCUCUCUCCAGCCCCUGCCCUGCCAGCACCACCAUAUGUCCCCACCGAGUGACCCUGGAGAAGCCAGCAGAAAGCAAAGGUCAGGAUCCCUGGCAGAGGGGGUUGGGGGAACCUAAGUUCAGCAGCCCCAUCGCUGGCUCCAGGCUCAGCCAGCCAAUGGCCACCCACCCCCUCAAACCCUGAAGCAAAAUCAGACCUUGGCUAGAGCUUCCACCCUCCUCCCUGGUUGAGACCCCAGGGACUCAGUGGUCUGGGUAAACUGAGCCCCAGAGAGCAUGGGGACCACUCUGCCCCUGCCCCACGGCCACACCUGCCCAGCUGCCUCCCAGGUGCCCACCCACAGCCUCUGAGCCCAGGGAGGUGGCGGACAGUAGGAGCCUUGCUGUGGACUUCCUUCCAGCAGAGGAAAAUGCGCUUUUUCCCUUUUUUAUUUUUCCUCUUCAACAUCAGAGUCCCUAGGGUAGGCCUGGAGCAUCAGGGCACACAGGACACUGUUCUGCUUGUGCUUUUCUGGCAUGCAUGUUGGCAGGAAAAUAUGGUUUUCAGGGUGUCUUGGAGACUGUAAGCGCCCCACAAGGCCAGUGCCUCUCAGCCACAUCCCGAGGGAAUUAGGGACACACACACACACACACACACACACACACACACACACACACACACAAGGCGGUGCUGGGCAAUGGCUGAGUCUCCUCUCUGGAGCCUGCAGUGCUUCCCUGGGCCAGCCCCCAUUCCAUGCCCCUGCCCCAUCCUCCCCAAAGGUGACCCCCAGGCCCAGAACGAAGUGACUUGGUUGUGACCUCCACCCCAUGGGAAUGCAGAAGGUGCUUUUUCUUUCUCUGAUGUCCUGGCCACCUUGUCUGGUAGUCACUGAGCCUCCAGGCAGCUCAUACAGCUCCAGCCCCCAGGUGCGCAGGAAACAGUCAUUAGACCUCUGCCCCGAGCCUGAGUGAUCAGGGGCAGUUUCGGGGCCAUGGGGAGGCCACCACAGGUCGCUUGACCUUCAAGAGCUUGCGGCUGGGUCCCCUGAAAAGCCAUACAUCGACACUCCGCCCACUUCCCCCCAACCUGCCCCCAUCCCUGGAGACUAUUGCCAAAUGUUGUAAAGACUGGUCACCAGGUUCUCAGAAGCAAUCUGUGGUUCUAGCAGGUUCUACCCCAUCUGUGUGUGGAUGUCCAGUGGUUUUUAUUUCUGAUUAAAAAAAAAAAAAUUCCAGGUGUGCCACACCCACUUUCCUGCAGUGUUUUAAUAUCGUGUGGAAUUGUUACUACCUAGUGAAUUAAUAGAUCG